GUUGUAAACGGCGGCGUUAACGUGAGCGUCCUAAGGUAGCGCGAUAAUUUGCUUUUCAAUUGAAGGAUGGUAUGAAAGGGUUAACGAAGAAGGUGCUGUGUCUAAAAAUUCAAUUUAAACUAACUUUAAGGUGAAGAGGCCUUUAUGUAAAAGAAGGACGACAAGACCCUAUGAAGCUUUAUCUUAAUUGGAGCUUUCAGGCUCUUAUACGAUUUUGAUGGGAGAUCAGUAGAAAUAAGUCCUCUACUAUCAUAUUAAUCUUACUAGUAUUUCCUAACUUUAUAUGUGUGACUAGCUACUCUAGGGAUAACAGCGCAAUUUCUCCCGAAAGAUGGUAUUGGAGGGGAAGAUUGCGACCUCGAUGUUGGCUUUAGAUACCCUAGAGGCGUAGAAGCUUCU
rnacentral:rRNA from 1 species